AGCCUGCAUGAAUAUUGAUUGAGAUAUUAGGAAGAUUUUAUUUUUGCUUUCAACUUAGCAUUGAUUGACAAAAUUGCAUGGAGAGUAUUGUGAGCUCUAUUUGAACAAAAAUGUGAUUGAUCACUUCUGCUUGCUUGUGUUAUGGAGUUUUCUUUCUUAGCUUGAACGUUGUUUCAAAUUUUCAAGUUUUAAAACAUGACAUAACAAAAGGAAAUGUUAACAAGCAAGAAAAAACAGUACACACAUACAUAUAUAUGUGAAUAUGUGAGUCUAAAUUCAUGUAGUUUUGCAUUCAAAUUUUCAAGAAUAAACUGACUCAAUUGAAUUCCAAUUUUGUUCGUUCCAAUUGCACGAUUGAGUUUGAUUUCUAAAAGAUGUAGGUUGGAAAAGGAGGUGAGCUAACAUGAAACGGAAGAACCAUAACAAGAGGAGUACUGGAUUCGUCGAGAAAUGGGAGAGAGACUCCAUGGCUCCCAUUUGUGAAACUUUUACAAUCGAUAUUAAUGUCAAUCUUGACAGGCAUUCAAAGAAGAGGAAUUUCUCUCUUUCUCUUUCCGUUGUACAUAAGAGAAGGGAUAGAAGAUGUUUGGGAAAGAAGAAAGGUAGAACGAUUAAUAAGUAGAAGAAGAUGAUAAGAAGAAAGGUUUGGGAAAGAAGAAAGAACUAUAGAGGUUAACUGGUUCAGCCAGAAAUUUAAAGGAUAUGCUUCAACAAUGAGCCUAAUGGUUGCAUCAGAAAAUAGGUAUUUUGUUUUUAUUUCUUUUCGUCCUCUCUUUACAAGUAACAUGGAAAUCGCUAUUUUGGUCUAUUUGUCAAGUAGUUCAAAUUCGAUUACAUCAAGACAUGAUAUGAAUUUUGUUUUCUCUGACGACUUGGCUAGCAUGUUGAAGCAUUGUCCGAGACCUUUUGUACGUCGGGGAAUAGUCUAUACCCAUCAAGUAUCUGAGCCUAAAGUCCAGAGACAGAGGUAAUAAUAGUUUAGGUUUAGGUUUUAGGUAAUGAACUUAUGAAUCCUACAUUUUGUUGUUUUUACUUGUUAGUUUGAUGCUCAACAAUAAUUGCCAAAUUGUUGAUUGUGCACGGAGGCCUAAAUCUUGAAUUGCUAUGAAAUGUUGUAAGAUCAAGUGAAACUUUAUGUUAUAUUUUAAGUUUCUCUGGGCUAGAUUAUUGAGAGUUUGAAUUGGGUUUCAAAUGCAAAUGGUUCACUUAGGAUAGAAAAUGCAAGUGUUUAUCUAUGAAUUUUGCAUGUGGGCGGUUUUAGGCAAAACUUGUGAAUUGCUAUAAAAUAUUGUAUGAUCAAGUGAAACUUUAUGU